AUUGAACGCUGGCGGCAGGCCUAACACAUGCAAGUCGAGCGGUAGCACGGGAGAGCUUGCUCUCUGGGUGACGAGCGGCGGACGGGUGAGAAAUGUCUGGGAAACUGCCUGAUGGAGGGGGAUAACUACUGGAAACGGUAGCUAAUACCGCAUGACCUCGCAAGAGCAAAGUGGGGGACCUUCGGGCCUCACGCCAUCGGAUGUGCCCAGAUGGGAUUAGCUAGUAGGUGGGGUAAUGGCUCACCUAGGCGACGAUCCCUAGCUGGUGUGAGAGGAUGACCAGCCACACUGGAACUGAGACACGGUCCAGACUCCUACGGGAGGCAGCAGUGGGGAAUAUUGCACAAUGGGCGCAAGCCUGAUGCAGCCAUGCCGCGUGUGUGAAGAAGGCCUUAGGGUUGUAAAGCACUUUCAGCGAGGAGGAAGGCGUUGUAGUUAAUAGCUGCAGCGAUUGACGUUACUCGCAGAAGAAGCACCGGCUAACUCCGUGCCAGCAGCCGCGGUAAUACGGAGGGUGCAAGCGUUAAUCGGAAUUACUGGGCGUAAAGCGCACGCAGGCGGUUUGUUAAGUCAGAUGUGAAAUCCCCGAGCUUAACUUGGGAACUGCAUUUGAAACUGGCAAGCUAGAGUCUUGUAGAGGGGGGUAGAAUUCCAGGU
rnacentral:rRNA from 1 species